rnacentral:rRNA from 1 species
UACGAAGGGGGCUAGCGUUGCUCGGAAUCACUGGGCGUAAAGGGUGCGUAGGCGGGUCUUUAAGUCAGGGGUGAAAUCCUGGAGCUCAACUCCAGAACUGCCUUUGAUACUGAAGAUCUGAGUUCCGGGAGAGGUGAGUGGAACUGCGAGUGUAGAGGUGAAAUUCGUAGAUAUUCGCAAGAACGCCAGUGGCGAAGGCGGCUCACUGGCCCGGUAUACGACGCUGAGGCACGAAAGCGUGGGGAGCAAACAGG